GGCUCAUCACAUCCUGGGGCUGGAAACGGUCCCAAGGGUAUGGCUGUUCGCCAUUUAAAGUGGUACGCGAGCU
rnacentral:ncRNA from 1 species